rnacentral:rRNA from 14 species
UUGACGUUGAAAAGUCUUGGGAUGACCUGAGGGUAGGGGUGAAAGGCCAAUCAAACUUAGAGAUAGCUGGUUCUCCGCGAAAUUUAUUGAGGUAAAGCGUUCAACGAUGUAGAAAGGGGGUAGAGCACUCAUUAGGUAAAGGGGAUCCAAAGUCUUACUGAACUUAUUGAAACUCCGAAGACCUUUCUUUGAUAUCUUGAGCAGACAGACUUAAAGUGCUAAGGUUUUAAGUCAAAAGGGAAACAGCCCAGACUGUUCGCUAAGGUCCUUAAACAUUUUGGAAGUGGUAAAAGGCGUUUUAAAACAAAGACAGCUAGGAGAUUGGCUUGGAAGCAGCCAUUCUAUAAUGAAAGCGUAAUAGCUCACUAGUC